AGCUUUUUGAAUUCAUGCCGAUAUUUUGUCAGACACCAACUCAUUAGGAGCGAUGAGACUUCCAAGAUAAGUGAAGUG
rnacentral:pre_miRNA from 1 species